rnacentral:rRNA from 1 species
UUCCUUGAACCGCAUGGUUCAAGGAUGAAAGACGGUUUCGGCUGUCACUUACAGAUGGACCCGCGGCGCAUUAGCUAGUUGGUGGGGUAAUGGCUCACCAAGGCGACGAUGCGUAGCCGACCUGAGAGGGUGAUCGGCCACACUGGGACUGAGACACGGCCCAGACUCCUACGGGAGGCAGCAGUAGGGAAUCUUCCGCAAUGGACGAAAGUCUGACGGAGCAACGCCGCGUGAGUGAUGAAGGUUUUCGGAUCGUAAAGCUCUGUUGUUAGGGAAGAACAAGUGCGAGAGUAACUGCUCGCACCUUGACGGUACCUAACCAGAAAGCCACGGCUAACUACGUGCCAGCAGCCGCGGUAAUACGUAGGUGGCAAGCGUUGUCCGGAAUUAUUGGGCGUAAAGGGCUCGCAGGCGGUUUCUUAAGUCUGAUGUGAAAGCCCCCGGCUCAACCGGGGAGGGUCAUUGGAAACUGGGAAACUUGAGUGCAGAAGAGGAGAGUGGAAUUCCACGUGUAGCGGUGAAAUGCGUAGAGAUGUGGAGGAACACCAGUGGCGAAGGCGACUCUCUGGUCUGUAACU